rnacentral:rRNA from 1 species
AUUGAACGCUGGCGGCAUGCCUUACACAUGCAAGUCGAACGGUAACAGGUCUUCGGAUGCUGACGAGUGGCGAACGGGUGAGUAAUACAUCGGAACGUGCCUAGUAGUGGGGGAUAACUACUCGAAAGAGUGGCUAAUACCGCAUGAGAUCUACGGUUGAAAGCAGGGGAUCGCAAGACCUUGUGCUACUAGAGCGGCCGAUGGCAGAUUAGGUAGUUGGUGGGAUAAAAGCUUACCAAGCCGACGAUCUGUAGCUGGUCUGAGAGGACGAUCAGCCACACUGGGACUGAGACACGGCACAGACUCCUACGGGAGGCAGAAGUGGGGAAUUUUGGACAAUGGGCGCAAGCCUGAGCCAGCAAUGCCGCGUGCAGGAUGAAGGCCUUCGGGUUGUAAACUGCUUUUGUACGGAACGAAAAGCCCCGGGUUAAUACCCUGGGGUCAUGACGGUACCGUAAGAAUAAGCACCGGCUAACUACGUGCCAGCAGCCGCAGUAA